UACAGAGGUCUCAAGCGUUGUUCGGAUUCAUUGGGCGUAAAGGGUGCGUAGGUGGCGCGGUAAGUCGGGUGUGAAAUCUCGGAGCUUAACUCCGAAAUUGCAUUCGAUACUGCCGUGCUCGAGGACUGGAGAGGAGACUGGAAUUCCUGGUGUAGCGGUGAAAUGCGCAGAUAUCAGGAGGAACACCGGUGGCGAAGGCGGGUCUCUGGGCCGUAACUGACGCUGAGGAGCGAAAGCGUGGGGAGCGAACAGG
rnacentral:rRNA from 1 species